rnacentral:rRNA from 1 species
AUGUGAAAGCCUUCUGCUUAACGGAAGAACAGCAGUUGAAACUACAGUGCUUGAGUGCGGGAGGGGAGAGUGGAACUUCUGGUGGAGCGGUGAAAUGCGUAGAUAUCAGAAGGAACGCCGGCGGCGAAAGCGGCUCUCUGGCCCGUAACUGACGCUGAGUGUGCGAAAGCUAGGGGAGCAAACGGGAUUAGAUACCCCGGUAGUCCUAACUGUAAACGAUGGGCACUAAGUAGAGGG